rnacentral:lncRNA from 1 species
AGUGCUGCUUUAAGAAUCUUGCUGAUCUCCCCUAAGGCUAAUCUGUGCAUAUUUCAGAUAUAAAUGCACCAAUUCAAAACAUAAGGGUGGAUCCAAGGAGAGGAGAGCUGAGCUGGGACUUACAUGGCAACGUUGGCGAAGUGUUUUGCAACAAAUCUCGCUAUCGCUUCAAGGCAAAGAACAACAACACUGCCUGCCAGUUUCAUGCCUUCUCCUCCUGCACGGUGACAAACUAUACCAUAAGAAUCACCAAAGGCCCCUCAUUCUCAACCAUCAUUCGGUAUCCUACGGAAGGUGAGGACGGAAAACGAUUUGUCUGUCUUUAAUCAGCUCUCAGUCUUCUUAGCGUCCAAACCGUGAUGUUGGAGUUAGCCAAACCUCCAGGGAAUUAUGCCGAGCAAAAUAUACAUGUAUCUAUAUGAUUUCAUUUGUAUGACGUUCUUGAAAUGGAGAA